rnacentral:lncRNA from 1 species
CAAAAUGUUGAAACUCCUGACUCCUGUUUAAACUCCCCACUGACUUCACUUGGUAUUUAGACUUCAAAUGGGGAGUCAGGAGGCCAGAUGCUUUGCUGAUCAUGGGUCUUUGGCUGCAAAAUGCUGAAUCUUCCCAAAGGAGCCAGUGGAAAUGACAGUAAAGAGGAAUUUUAUGCAUGCGUGACUCCUCCUGGACUUUGUUCAAUGGAGGAAAAUCUCUCUUGAAGUUCAACUGUCUUUCUUGUUUCUCUCACAGUAUUUUUUUUCCCAGGCUUUUAUUACCAACAAACUGCAAGGGUGCCUGUGCCCUGGAGGAGGGGUCAGGAUAUGUGCUCUGGCCAUCAAGGCAGACAACCCAUCUCAUCAAUGUCAACAGGAAAGGCUCUUGGACAAAACUGGAAGAUUUUCUGGGUUUCAGACAUAGUAGAGUUCAAAUUGUCAAAGACCACCUCCAGAGUCAAUCUCCCUGUGCUCAGUGGUGUUCUUACAGCAUGGAUGCUUCCAUAGGAGAAAACGUCUGAAAAUGGAAGACCUAAGCUGUCUCCUUCCCUUGUUCAACCUGCCAGUGAGCAGCUGUUGCUGUCAUGUCAGUGGUAUCACCCUGUCCUCACUCACCUCUGACUGGUCCAUGAAUAUUGCAGACUCCUGAGAGUGGGGAGAGCCUACAGAUGAGCUAGCACAGUGUCAGCACAGUAGGAUGACUUUCUGUCCUUAAGCAACACUCCCAACUUCCUAUAAGAAACAGGAGCGAGAGCAAUUUGUCUCCCUAGGAACUUUAGUAUAAAUAUGCUGGGAUAACUAGCUUUGAUAGGAAAAAAUUUUUACAGGUUAAGUGUUUCUUUGGGCACUGGCUUGAAAUAUCUAUUUGGGAAUUCCCAUCUCGGAAAAUCGUAGCUUAACAUCUGAGGUGAACAGGCUGUCAUACAUGAGGGCAGAACACAAGAAGUAAACACAGCUAUCAUCACAUUAAAGACAAGACACUGUGGAGAAUUUGGAGCAAAGCAGGAGGAAUUUCUCAACACAGGUCCAUUCUUUCCCCCUAAGCAGCUCCUCUGCUUGGAGACAUACCACAUGCAGAACUUCUCUACUAUGAAGCUGCAGUGAUGUUCUUGAGUAUAGACAUGGGCAGAAACAGUACAAACAGCAGAGGGUGUUAAAAGUGACUGCAAAGUGAAAAAUGAUAACUCCACACCUCAUUUAUCUGUAAAUGGCACAGGCUAUGCUCUUUAUUGCUUACUAGUUUGUUCUCUUAAAGAGAGAACAUUAGGUGAACCAUCAAAGUGCAAGGGCAAAGUGAAGCAAGGAUUGUGCCUAUCCACAGGGCCAACCUCUAAAGCUGUGCUUCAGUUUUUUUCCUCCUUUUCAGUCUCAGUUUUCCCUGAAGAAGAUAAGCCAUGGAAUUUGCAGGACCAAGAUCUUCGUCACAAAGUCUCCUCCAGUGUCUCAAUUCCCCAGGGUGUCAAGAAAGUUUAGCCUCCUCUUUGGAAGCAGCAGAACAUCUUUCCUUAGAUGGACCAGCCU